rnacentral:rRNA from 1 species
AGUGAACGCUGGCGGUAGGCCUAACACAUGCAAGUCGAACGGCAGCACAGUAAGAGCUUGCUCUUACGGGUGGCGAGUGGCGGACGGGUGAGGAAUACAUCGGAAUCUACUUUUUCGUGGGGGAUAACGUAGGGAAACUUACGCUAAUACCGCAUACGACCUACGGGUGAAAGCAGGGGAUCUUCGGACCUUGCGCGAUUGGAUGAGCCGAUGUCGGAUUAGCUGGUUGGCGGGGUAAAGGCCCACCAAGGCGACGAUCCGUAGCUGGUCUGAGAGGAUGAUCAGCCACACUGGAACUGAGACACGGUCCAGACUCCUACGGGAGGCAGCAGUGGGGAAUAUUGGACAAUGGGCGCAAGCCUGAUCCAGCCAUACCGCGUGGGUGAAGAAGGCCUUCGGGUUGUAAAGCCCUUUUGUUGGGAAAGAAAAGCAGCAGGUUAAUACCCCGCUGUUCUGACGGUACCCAAAGAAUAAGCACCGGCUAACUUCGUG